UUUAACUCAAAAUAAUCUUUAUGCCAAAGUGGCCUAUCUUGGGGUGGCCUGCCCUUGGCCCCUACUGUUCCCACCGAUGGUGGUGGCUCUGGUUCCUGGCCUCCUGGUACCACCUUCUCCCUUGAUCUCUCUAGUCUUACGGGUAGUAGCAGCUCUCUGCUGUUGCAAAUAUGUGGCUUGCUCCUCCCUCCCUUCUCCCCCAUCCUUUCUUUGACUUUCCAAGUCUUUCAACACUUUUUUAAGCAGUUGCCUACAUCACACUCCCUCAACUGGAUUAUCUAGUAUGGGCUCUGUUUAGAAGAGAAUGUUAAUAGGGUACAUUUAUGAAAAUUAAUAAAUUCAUACUAGUACAAAAUUAUUAAUGAAACUAAAAACUUUUUAAAAUUUCACCGAUGGCCCCAAUAAUGUAUUUCCAAUAAUAUUUUUUUCUGUUCCAGGAACCAAACGAAAUUCCAUAUUGCAUUUAGUCAUCAGGCCUGCGUAAUUAACUUUGGUUUCUGACAAUUUAUUGAUCUUUUCUUGUUUUUAUGACCUUGACCUGAAGACCUCAGUUAUUUUGUGAAAGGCACUCACCUGCCGAAAAGAUAGAGUGCGGUGAUUGACAAGGCCUUGGACACAAGACAAGCCCUGGAGCUACAAUGAUUCGGGUCUUAACCCUCCUCCCAGCAUCACAAGGACUGAGAAAGAAUGACCAGAGCCUCUUGCCAGUCUCACAGCUCAGAAAUGUGUCCCCGAGGACCAAGAGCCAUCUCUAUGAAAUGUACUCCUCAAGGAAGAUGGUGCCCUGCCUCGCAGUUUCCUAGGAGAAGACAAACCUAACUUCAACUAUCAUCUGAGUUCACGUUGCAAAACCUGCCGAAUGUCACCAGGGCAUCCGCUCAGCUGUAACGGCGCAAGAUUUCCCCGCUGUCUGCCAUCUCUUUAGCAGAUGGCCAGAGAUGCAUAUCACAUUCUGGUUUAAUGCUUAUUCAAUAAAAAAAUUAUUUUCUUUCUCUUC